rnacentral:rRNA from 1 species
AUUGAACGCUGGCGGCAGGCCUAACACAUGCAAGUCGAGCGGAGCGGCGGACGGGUGAGUAAUGCCUAGGAAUCUGCCUGGUAGUGGGGGAUGACGUCCGGAAACGGGCGCUAAUACCGCAUACUAUCAGAUGAGCCUAGGUCGGAGUAGCUAGUUGGUGGGGUAAAGGCCUACCAAGGCGACGAUCCGUAACUGGUCUGAGAGGAUGAUCAGUCACAGUGGAACGGAGAAACCGUCCAGACGCCUAAGGGAGGCAGCAGUGGGGAAUAUUGGACAAUGGGCGAAAGCCUGAUGCCGCGACGCCGCGUGGGGGAUGAAGGCUUUCGGGUUGUAAACCUCUUUCGCUAUCGAACGGGUAGGUGGAGAAGAAGCGCCGGCUAACUACGUGCCAGCAGCCGCGGUAAUAC